GACCCAUUAGUCAAGCGGUUAAGACACGGCCCUUUCACGGCUGUAACGCCAGUUCGAUUCUGGCAUGGGCCA
rnacentral:tRNA from 1 species